UUAAGUUAUUAAGGGCGCACGGUGGAUGCCUUGGCACUAGAAGCCGAUGAAGGACGUUACUAACGACGAUAUGCUUUGGGGAGCUGUAAGUAAGCUUUGAUCCAGAGAUUUCCGAAUGGGGAAACCCAGCAUGAGUUAUGUCAUGUUAUCGAUAUGUGAAUACAUAGCAUAUCAGAAGGCACACCCGGAGAACUGAAACAUCUUAGUACCCGGAGGAAGAGAAAGAAAAUUCGAUUCCCUUAGUAGCGGCGAGCGAAACGGGAAGAGCCCAAACCAACAAGCUUGCUUGUUGGGGUUGUAGGACACUCUAUACGGAGUUACAAAGGACGACAUUAGACGAAUCAUCUGGAAAGAUGAAUCAAAGAAGGUAAUAAUCCUGUAGUCGAAAAUGUUGUCUCUCUUGAGUGGAUCCUGAGUACGACGGAGCACGUGAAAUUCCGUCGGAAUCUGGGAGGACCAUCUCCUAAGGCUAAAUACUCUCUAGUGACCGAUAGUGAACCAGUACCGUGAGGGAAAGGUGAAAAGCACCCCGGAAGGGGAGUGAAAUAGAACCUGAAACCGUGUGCUUACAAGUAGUCAGAGCCCGUUAAUGGGUGAUGGCGUGCCUUUUGUAGAAUGAACCGGCGAGUUACGAUUUGAUGCAAGGUUAAGCAGUAAAUGUGGAGCCGUAGCGAAAGCGAGUCUGAAUAGGGCGUUUAGUAUUUGGUCGUAGACCCGAAACCAGGUGAUCUACCCUUGGUCAGGUUGAAGUUCAGGUAACACUGAAUGGAGGACCGAACCGACUUACGUUGAAAAGUGAGCGGAUGAACUGAGGGUAGCGGAGAAAUUCCAAUCGAACCUGGAGAUAGCUGGUUCUCUCCGAAAUAGCUUUAGGGCUAGCCUCAAGUGAUGAUUAUUGGAGGUAGAGCACUGUUUGGACGAGGGGCCCCUCUCGGGUUACCGAAUUCAGACAAACUCCGAAUGCCAAUUAAUUUAACUUGGGAGUCAGAACAUGGGUGAUAAGGUCCGUGUUCGAAAGGGAAACAGCCCAGACCACCAGCUAAGGUCCCAAAAUAUAUGUUAAGUGGAAAAGGAUGUGGCGUUGCCCAGACAACUAGGAUGUUGGCUUAGAAGCAGCCAUCAUUUAAAGAGUGCGUAAUAGCUCACUAGUCGAGUGACACUGCGCCGAAAAUGUACCGGGGCUAAACAUAUUACCGAAGCUGUGGAUUGUCCUUUGGACAAUGGUAGGAGAGCGUUCUAAGGGCGUUGAAGCAUGAUCGUAAGGACAUGUGGAGCGCUUAGAAGUGAGAAUGCCGGUGUGAGUAGCGAAAGACGGGUGAGAAUCCCGUCCACCGAUUGACUAAGGUUUCCAGAGGAAGGCUCGUCCGCUCUGGGUUAGUCGGGUCCUAAGCUGAGGCCGACAGGCGUAGGCGAUGGAUAACAGGUUGAUAUUCCUGUACCACCUAUAAUCGUUUUAAUCGAUGGGGGGACGCAGUAGGAUAGGCGAAGCGUGCGAUUGGAUUGCACGUCUAAGCAGUAAGGCUGAGUAUUAGGCAAAUCCGGUACUCGUUAAGGCUGAGCUGUGAUGGGGAGAAGACGUUGUGUCUUCGAGUCGUUGAUUUCACACUGCCGAGAAAAGCCUCUAGAUAGAAAAUAGGUGCCCGUACCGCAAACCGACACAGGUAGUCAAGAUGAGAAUUCUAAGGUGAGCGAGCGAACUCUCGUUAAGGAACUCGGCAAAAUGACCCCGUAACUUCGGGAGAAGGGGUGCUCUUUAGGGUUAACGCCCAGAAGAGCCGCAGUGAAUAGGCCCAAGCGACUGUUUAUCAAAAACACAGGUCUCUGCUAAACCGUAAGGUGAUGUAUAGGGGCUGACGCCUGCCCGGUGCUGGAAGGUUAAGAGGAGUGGUUAGCUUCUGCGAAGCUACGAAUCGAAGCCCCAGUAAACGGCGGCCGUAACUAUAACGGUCCUAAGGUAGCGAAAUUCCUUGUCGGGUAAGUUCCGACCCGCACGAAAGGCGUAACGAUUUGGGCACUGUCUCAACGAGAGACUCGGUGAAAUCAUAGUACCUGUGAAGAUGCAGGUUACCCGCGACAGGACGGAAAGACCCCGUGGAGCUUUACUGUAGCCUGAUAUUGAAAUUCGGCACAGCUUGUACAGGAUAGGUAGGAGCCUUUGAAACGUGAGCGCUAGCUUACGUGGAGGCGCUGGUGGGAUACUACCCUAGCUGUGUUGGCUUUCUAACCCGCACCACUUAUCGUGGUGGGAGACAGUGUCAGGCGGGCAGUUUGACUGGGGCGGUCGCCUCCUAAAAGGUAACGGAGGCGCUCAAAGGUUCCCUCAGAAUGGUUGGAAAUCAUUCAUAGAGUGUAAAGGCAUAAGGGAGCUUGACUGCGAGACCUACAAGUCGAGCAGGGUCGAAAGACGGACUUAGUGAUCCGGUGGUUCCGCAUGGAAGGGCCAUCGCUCAACGGAUAAAAGCUACCCCGGGGAUAACAGGCUUAUCUCCCCCAAGAGUUCACAUCGACGGGGAGGUUUGGCACCUCGAUGUCGGCUCAUCGCAUCCUGGGGCUGUAGUCGGUCCCAAGGGUUGGGCUGUUCGCCCAUUAAAGCGGUACGCGAGCUGGGUUCAGAACGUCGUGAGACAGUUCGGUCCCUAUCCGUCGUGGGCGUAGGAAAUUUGAGAGGAGCUGUCCUUAGUACGAGAGGACCGGGAUGGACAUACCUCUGGUGUACCAGUUGUCGUGCCAACGGCAUAGCUGGGUAGCUAUGUGUGGACGGGAUAAGUGCUGAAAGCAUCUAAGCAUGAAGCCCCCCUCAAGAUGAGAUUUCCCAACUUCGGUUAUAAGAUCCCUCAAAGAUGAUGAGGUUAAUAGGUUCGAGGUGGAAGCAUGGUGACAUGUGGAGCUGACGAAUACUAAUCGAUCGAAGACUUAAUCAA
rnacentral:rRNA from 2 species